CGGGGUGUAGCGCAGUCUGGUAGCGCACCUGGUUUGGGACCAGGGGGUCGGAGGUUCGAAUCCUCUCGCCCCGACCA
rnacentral:tRNA from 5 species